ACGUAGUUAGCCGAUCCUUAUUCACGUGGUACCGUCCUUCGUCUUCCCACGUAAAAGAGCUUUACAAUCCGAAGACCUUCAUCGCUCACGCGGCGUUGCUGCCUCGGACUUUCGUCCAUUGGGCAAUAUUCCC
rnacentral:rRNA from 1 species